GCGGGUGUAGCUCAAUGGUAGAGCAGAAGAAGCCUUCCAAGCUUACGACGAGGGUUCAAUUCCCUUCGCCCGCUCCA
rnacentral:tRNA from 1 species